rnacentral:lncRNA from 1 species
UUUUCUCUUUUUCUUCUUUUUUUCUUUUUUUCUUUUCUUUUCUCUUUUUCUUCUUUUUCUUCUCUUUUCUCUUGGCUCCUUCCUAGCCGAAACAGGGGACCGGCAGGUCCCCUCCCUUGACCGACCGUCCAGGCCACGACCGACACGACGAAGGCCGGCGACAGAGGAGGGCAACUCUCUCGAGUUCGGAGAGGCAAGGCCGGCGGUCGGUUGUGAUCGCCGGCGCCGGAAAACCAAAGGGAAGAAGAGACCAAACAGGGGUCUCUUCUCCGACCAAAAAUCGGCGACACCCGUCGCCAGCAGUCGCGCACAGAGGCACGGGAAGAAAGAGAAAGAAGAGAGGAAGAGGAGAAAAANNNNNNNNNNNNNNNNNNNNUUCUUUCUUUUUUUCUUUUCUUUUCUCUUUUUCUUCUUUUUCUUCUCUUUUCUCUCGGCUCCUUCCUGGCCGAAACAGGGGAUCGGCAGGUCCCCUCCCUUGACCGGCCGUCCAGGCCACGGCCGACACGGCGAAAGCCGGCGACAGAAGGGGGCAACUCUCUCGAGUUCGGAGAGGCAAGGCCGGCGGUCGGUUGUGAUCGCCGGCGCCGGAAAACUAAAGGGAAGAAGAGACCAAACAGGGGUCUCUUCUCCGACCAAAAAUCGGCGACACCCGUCGCCGGCAGUCGCGCACAGAGGCACGGGAAG